rnacentral:lncRNA from 1 species
CCCUGCAAAUGGCGGUAAUGAUGGUGCUUCCAUAAUACGGUGUGUUACCAUAUGGCAAAGCAGAAGCAAGUUGGAGCCUGGAAGAAAUGACCCAUGUGGUGCCUUAGGCCAGGGCAAUGCUUAAUAAAUGAUUGCCACUAUCGUCAUCGUCGUCAUCAUCAUCAUAAUGUCAUAGAACCAGGGUUCUAGAAGGCUCUGUGGCAGGGAGUGGGAGGGUGAUUAACAGGGGAAGAAUUAGGAAAGAGGACACGCAAGACCACAGUAAGAGAUGGAAAUAAGAGAAUAUUCCUGAUUUCCAUUGGAUGACUUUGACUGGUAUGAUUUCAUUGUCUGAAAGUGUAAACCAGGGUUCAGCAUGGCCAGAAACCAUUCCAAGCCUCAUGAAGUGGGCAAGUCAGGUUUGGUCAUUUUUGGUAAUGUCAUUGCAUGUACACAGUUUAAGACAGAGCAUCUGGUGAUUCUCGGACCUUCAAGCAAGUGUCACAUCUCAGGUGAACCUUGGCAGUUUAUAGGUGAACAAAGUAAUCAAAGCAAAAAUGUCAAAUAAUAAUAAUAAUAAUGAUAUCAGAAGAAUGUCCAAUGCCAUGGUUGGAUUCCCAGAAGGCAGCAUCUGCUCAUGCCAUCAACAACAUGGUGCCAUUUCAGUCAUCCUCUUUUUGUCCCAAAGACAGAAAACAAAUAGAAAAAAGAAAAAGAAAAAGACACCACGAACUGUCUAUCCUCCUGGUAAUACAAAUACACCUGUAAAUAAACAUGUCAAUGUCUACACACAACGCACAUUUAUGCAGAAUCCAUCCUCUCGGUGCUUCCGUAGUUAUCAAGUAAAAGUC